rnacentral:sRNA from 1 species
GUCGCUGCCCAUUCAGCGACCGGACGUCGCGGUCCGAUCAACAAUAGGCGCACAGGCGCCACCAUUUCGAUUGCUGGCGCUUUUUUU